rnacentral:rRNA from 1 species
GAUGAACGCUAGCUACAGGCUUAACACAUGCAAGUCGAGGGGCAUCAGUUUGGUUUGCUUGCAAACCAAAGCUGGCGACCGGCGCACGGGUGAGUAACACGUAUCCAACCUGCCUCAUACUCGGGGAUAGCCUUUCGAAAGAAAGAUUAAUAUCCGAUAGCAUAUAUUUCCCGCAUGGGUUUUAUAUUAAAGAAAUUCGGUAUGAGAUGGGGAUGCGUUCCAUUAGUUUGUUGGCGGGGUAACGGCCCACCAAGACUACGAUGGAUAGGGGUUCUGAGAGGAAGGUCCCCCACAUUGGAACUGAGACACGGUCCAAACUCCUACGGGAGGCAGCAGUGAGGAAUAUUGGUCAAUGGACGCGAGUCUGAACCAGCCAAGUAGCGUGAAGGAUGACUGCCCUAUGGGUUGUAAACUUCUUUUAUAUGGGAAUAAAGUGGUCCACGUGUGGAUUUUUGUAUGUACCAUAUGAAUAAGGAUCGGCUAACUCCGUGCCAGCAGCCGCGGUAAUACGGAGGAUCCGAGCGUUAUCCGGAUUUAUUGGGUUUAAAGGGAGCGUAGGCGGAUUGUUAAGUCAGUUGUGAAAGUUUGCGGCUCAACCGUAAAAUUGCAGUUGAUACUGGCAGUCUUGAGUGCAGUAGAGGUGGGCGGAAUUCGUGGUGUAGCGGUGAAAUGCUUAGAUAUCACGAAGAACUCCGAUUGCGAAGG